UUAGGAGACAACAAAAACAGAAGACAGACAGUGAAUAUUUUACUUUCUCAGACUACAUCCAUGCCAGUUUUUCUGCCUGUUGUGUGUUCAGUUGAAACAGUUCUGGUGCAGUUACUCUGAAUGCACUCGUCAGUAAACUGCACCUUGUUGGGACAUGGAGAAAUACCGACCACAUUACUAAUGGUGCAAUCACUACUAAUGGGCGGUGCCACUGUGUACAUGCCAUUACAUGUUCAGACAGUCUGGUUGUCCAGUGUUGCUCAACACCUAAUAGUCAUCACAGACUGAGUCUGGACUGCAGUCACGUCCACAAUGAAUUCUAAAUUUUACACCAAUAAUAGUGAACAGACGCACUGAUUCCAUCUCUGACAGGUGUGAAACCUGUCAGAGUAACAUGUCGGCACAAAGUCACUUCAGUGAUGGAUGCACAGUUCAAGUCACAUUAUUAAAGUGACAUUCCAGCCAUUUUACUCAUCAAAGUCAGUUAACUGGCCACAAAGGGCACAACUCCUCCUGUAAAACUGUAAAACAGUUGCAUUGUGUGUCUUGGAGGAGCUUUGUUAAGUCUGAGAAAAUACUGAUGACAACGCCAUCAGGGUUAUGUCAGUACCGGCCUGGAGACACAGUAUAAUAACAGAAAACCUACUUCACAAACCGGGGUCAUGCAGUUAUAAACCACCCAUCCAUUAUCUAUACACCGCUUAAUCCUCACUAGG